rnacentral:lncRNA from 1 species
CCGUUUUGUUUGAGGGUGUGAGGACACCAGGAGAGUCUCUUGGUGCACUCCUUGUUUAUCAAAGAAAGCGAACAGGACGAAAUUCCUCCACCCUACUAAACUACUUUGUUAAUGACAGCGUUGAAUGGGUUUUUUAAUGAUUGUUGAAAAUUGAAGAAAGCCAGUAUAAGCCCUCCUCUUGGAUUUUAAAAGAUAAAACCAACUAAAUCCUGAAAAAAUCUCAAUAAACAAAAUGAAGUAAUUUGACACCAGUAAUGGACGCAAUUGGAGAAGGUCCCCAAAGGUCAGAAUGUACUAAUUCAAAAGGGUGUAAAGCCCGUGAUACAGAUUGUGAAAAAGGCAAACGUAGAGGUGUCAAACGUGCCCGCCGUGCCAUGUCGUGCCACUUUUCUUCUAUGCCAGUCGUGCUUCGUGCUGGGUUGUGCCGGCCCAUUUACUUAAUCGUGCCGUGUCGUGCCUUUUUUAAGUGUGUCGUGUCGUGCCAUUUUUUUUUAUUCGUGUCGUGGCCAUACCGGCCCACGUACUUAAUCGUGUCGUGCUGUGCUGGCCCGCUAACUUAGUCGUGUGACUCGUGUCGUUUCGUGCUGUGUCCGUCUACCUAAUCGUCGUGCCGACCCUGCUUACAUUAAUCGUGUCGUGCCCGUACUACUUAACUUAGUCAUGUGGACUCCGUGCCAUGUCCCAUGCCCGCUACUAAUCGUGUCGUGCCGUGAUCGUAUUUUAAUUGUGUCGUGUCCCGUUUUUUUAAUUAAAGCACAAUUACAUAGACAUUUAUAAAUAUUUUGACACCCACAAGGCUUUUUCUAGAAAUCCAUAAUUUAGGAAUGUAGGCCUUAGUGGCUAACAGGCUUAUGGGUGGCAGUUGUUGCACAAAAAUUUAAUUUUUUAAUUAAAUUUUAUUUAAUUUAUUUAAUAAUUAAUUAUUUGUUUUUUUUGGGCCACUAUCCGUGUCCGUGGUGCCGUACCCAAGACGUUGCCUUGAGACAUCGUGAACAUUGCCCAUGCCGUGCUUGACUAAGUCUGUGUCGUGCCUGUGCCAAACUAGAGUCACUUCGUGUCGUGCCCGUUGUCGGGCUGGGCUUUGAUCGUGUCGUGCCAUCCGUUUCCUGUUAAGCCACUAUCGUGCCCUGCCCCGUUGCCGUGCUUCCCCAUUUUCCGGCCGCCCCGUGCGCCCUACCCGUGUCCGCUCAAGAAGCAUGCCCCCCCCAUGCUGUGCCGCGUGCAACUUAAUACACCGUGCUCGUGCCGAGUUUUUUCAUGCCAUGUCCGUGCCGAGUUUUUUCGUGCCAUGCCUGUGCCGUGCUGUGCCGUGCUGGCAAGGCCCACUUGACACCUCUAGGAAAACGAUGAGAUUUAGCUAGUUGGCAUGAUGUGCAAAAAUCCAUACAUUGAGAUUUAGAACUAGACAAGUUACAAGUAGAAAUGACAUGUUGGACAGUGUCACGAGAGGGAUGCCCCAAGCGAAAAUGCCACAAAUUGGAGGGAUUGCUGACAGCGAUGUGAAGUUGAAUAGGAGAUAAACUAGAGGGAGGAGAUGCUGGUGAUGAGCAGACCCGAUACAAGCCUUUAUCAAGCUGACCCCGGAGGAGAAGUUGUUUUGUUACCUAAUGCUUAACCAAGAAAAAAGUAGGAUAGAAUUCAAUAAAAGCAUGAUUAUCAGUGCAUAAUCUAGAAACACUAAGCAGAUUUUUAGUAAGAGAGGGAGAGUGAUAAACAUGAUAAAGUUUGAGAAUAGAAUUAUAAGCAGGGAGAGAGGCAUGGCCAAUGUUUGAGAUGGGAGAAGUCUUACCAUUACCAACUGUUAUUUGAUCCAUUUCAGUGUACGGAGAAGCCGAAUCAAGCAUAUUUAGAUCUGGGGUGAAAUGAUGCGAGGCACCGGAGUCCAUGUACCAGGAUGGAUCUAGGAGAGGAGAAGCGCUGGUUAGCUGGUUGGAGGAGGUAGAGAGAGACAGAUUUGGUGUAAUGUAAGCAUUGAAAUUUUGAGGUGGUAGAGGUGGAGGUUGAUAGUUCAAGUUGGUGCGAUGGUAACAUUUGUUAGCAGUAUGACCAGGCUUCAAGCAGAUUUGGCAUCGAGGUCGAGGUUUAGGAGAGGAGGGAUUGGGAGAAUAGGAUGGGUUGCGAUUCUGGCCACGAGGAUGGGAGUAGGAGUUGGAGUUUGGAGAGCUAUUGGUGGGAGGGUUUUUGAAUUUGGGUUUCUGGUAAGUAAGGUUGGCGAGGUUGGCUUUGAAGGAGCUCAAGGUGUUCAGGGGCAGACUGUCGCAGACAGCAUCAUAACUCAAAAGCAUACUAUGAACCUCCUCACAAGGGACGAAUAUCUUGGCUCUGAAUCAGUAACAAAUGGAUUAUAAUCCCGACCUAAACCACCAGAAAGUAGAUAAGAUGAUCAGUAUAAGUCACCGGCUCACCAAUAGAAGCGAGUGAGUUGCAGAGGUGGUCGAAAUUUUUGAAUGUAAGCCAGGGCUAUGAGGCCCUCCUUCUUAAUGGUUUGAAGCACCGUGCG